UCUUUCCAGCUCCCUAAUACCUCAGCCUCAUUUCCUCCAAACUACACAAACUGAGAGUCCUCAGUCCUCCUAGGACUCUAGUCCUAGUCCUCCUAGCCAGCCUCUUCACUAGCUUUGUUGCUCUCCUGUGGAUGCAUUUAAGGACAUUCACUGCCUGGUUAAAUUAUGCAGCGCAGAACUGCACACAGCACUCAAACUGAGGCAGCAGGAAUGCUGAAUGCAGUGAAAUAAUCACAUCUUCUGAGUGGCUGGUGAUGCUCUGUUUGAUGCACCCAAGUGAAGACAGAGAUAGCAAUACAGCCAGAUGUAGAGAGAGAAAGUUGGAAAUGUGGACAGCGUGAUCAAGCACUAAUCAAGACAUUCUAUGGAGUUUGGAAAAUUCUCACCAGGAAGCCUUGUGAAGCCAAUACAGUUUCACAACUGCUCUGCUCUUUCACGCUGCCUAAAAGAAGGCCAAACUGGCUCUCAAGCCACAUCCAGAUCACAAGAUUUUUAAUUGUAUCCUUCUGGAUGCUAUGGGAACUUCUGGGCCAUCCAAAUCUACUUUCCUUUCUCAGUCUUUAUGGCUUAUUGUGCAUAGAACUAAAGACAGAAAAAAUUGUAUCAAUUUAAGAAACUGACUUAAUAAAAAAAAAUUUA